rnacentral:rRNA from 1 species
UGGUGAUCAAGAAAUACCUUUUGAAAAAAAGGGUUAAUACCGUAUAACAGAGAAAACCGCCUGGUUUUCUUUUAAAAGAUGGCUCUGCUAUCACUUCUGGAUGGACCCGCGGCGCAUUAGCUAGUUGGUGAGGUAACGGCUCACCAAGGCGAUGAUGCGUAGCCGACCUGAGAGGGUAAUCGGCCACAUUGGGACUGAGACACGGCCCAGACUCCUACGGGAGGCAGCAGUAGGGAAUCUUCCACAAUGGACGCAAGUCUGAUGGAGCAACGCCGCGUGAGUGAAGAAGGGUUUCGGCUCGUAAAGCUCUGUUGUUAAAGAAGAACGUGGGUGAGAGUAACUGUUCACCCAGUGACGGUAUUUAACCAGAAAGCCACGGCUAACUACGUGCCAGCACCGCGGUAAUACGUAGGUGGCAAGCGUUAUCCGGAUUUAUUGGGCGUAAAGCGAGCGCAGGCGGUCUUUUAAGUCUAAUGUGAAAGCUUCGGCUCAACCGAAGAAGUGCAUUGAAACUUGGAGA